rnacentral:rRNA from 1 species
AAUAGAUACCCAGGUAGUCCUAGCCCUAAACGAUGAAUGCUUGGUGUGGCGGGUAUCGAUCCCUGCCGUGCCGAAGCUAACGCAUUAAGCAUUCCGCCUGGGGAGUACGGUCGCAAGGCUGAAACUCGAAAGGAAUUGACGGGGGCCCGCACAAGCGGUGGAGCAUGUGGUUCAAUUCGACGCAACGCGAAGAACCUUACCUGGGCUCGAAAUGCAGAUGACAUCCGGCGAAAGUCGGCUCCCGCAAGGGCGUCUGUAUAGGUGCUGCAUGGCUGUCGUCAGCUCGUGUCGUGAGAUGUUGGGUUAAGUCCCGCAACGAGCGCAACCCUCGUCCUCUGUUGCCAUCAGGUCAAGCUGGGCACUCUGAGGAGACUGCCGGUGAUAAACCGGAGGAAGGUGGGGAUGACGUCAAGUCAGCAUGGCCUUUAUGUCCAGGGCCACACACGUGCUACAAUGGCGGAUACAAAGCGCUGCAAGCCCGCGAGGGUGAGCCAAUCGCAU